AUGCUGUCUGUUGCUGUCGCUCUUCCGGAAUUCCGUAUUAUCCUUGCUCAGGUCAACCAGUCCUUGGAUCUGUUAUCAGGUGUCAGCCCAGCAGAAACCAUAGCACCUGAGGAUUUGGAGCUGGCCCUCUUCCUUGGAACUUGCACCCUCCAAAAAUGUCUCUUAGGCUGCCUGUCCCUGCAUGAUCAACUUUGUCACCAACUGCUGCUUCAGACAGAGCUUCAGAGUCCUACCUCAUGGAUGCAAAUCAAAACAGCCCAGGAUCAAGCCUGGGAAUCAAGUCAGAACGGAUUGAUUUGCAUGGAAGAGCUUUGUCACUGAGUGAAGCCAGCCAAAUUCCCCCCGGGGCUCCCCAGCCCUCCGGAAAUAAGCUUUACAGGGCCUGGGGGCCUGGGCCCAACAGGGUGGGCGUGAUUUGAAUAUUCACUGCCACAGCUGCAGCAGCCCAGCCCUGGUCACCGCCAUGGGUUUCGCUUCAUUUUACUGCCUCAGAACCGCCCUGUGCAUGUUAGUGGUUAAUACAGCAGCCUGGAGACGCCAGACAGCUCUCGGCACCUGGUUCAAAUUUAAGGCUCAUUUACACAUGAUGUCACACACGCAUUGUCAGCGCAAGGGAGGUCAGGAUGGUUCAUUUUGGGAAGGUUUGCAUUGUUGAGUCUUUACAACACUCACUGCUAUUAAUGCUUUAACCAUCUGACUUGGAUUUCGGUUUUCUGGCAUGAGGUAAUCCCAGGCAGCAGAUUUAUAUGCUGAAUGGGAAGCCAGCAGUGGUGGCUAAUCACGCUGGUUUGCAGAUCUGCACCUCUGGAGCCUUGGGAUGGAAUUAGAGGGCCACAUGGCAUGUAGCAAAUCAUGGAGGUUUUGAGCAGAAGGGGAAUUAGCCAGACCUGGAAGCAGGGGCUGUGAGGGGGUGGUUGCCUGAGGUGGGAGGCUUGACUGAGGAAUAAAAACCAAAGUAAAUCGGACAAGGGUCUGAGCCCAGAGGCCGUGGGAUUACUUUCGUUUGGCCAGUGUUUUGGGGUCAUUGCUUGACCGUCCUUUUGUUCACCAUCCACAGACAUUCCAAACCCACCUUCCCAGGCCCAAUUCAAGUUUCUCAGGUUCCCCCAAGCCUUUCCUGACCACCCUGCCCAAGGCGAUUUUUCUCCUGAAUCCCUAAGUACCUUUGUCAAUAAAGUAAGACAGCUAACAAUUGCUGAGUACUUCAUUUGUGCUGCUUGUUCAUUUUACUCUCACAGCAACCCGAUGCCAACGGCACUAUUGUUUCCGUUGCACAGACGAUGAAAUCGCUUCACGGAGAUUAAAUAAAUGUGUCCAACGUCGGAGCUGGUCAGUCAGGAUGGAGGCCUGAUUCCAAAGGCCAGUUCCGAAGCACUGAAGCGGGCAACAGAACUGGGGAGGAGUGCCACGUCGCCUGCACCGCUCUGCACCGCACGGGCGAGGCAGGCUGGACCUCAGCGAGACGCCGUGGCUGAGCACGCGCUAGGGUCGGGGCGUGCCCCCCCCCCCCCCCCCCGUGCACAUGCGCUACCGCUGUUUCCUGGCUGUCCGUAAUGGCGGCGCAGGGACCGCCGCUUAUGCUUUUCUGACGCCCCUGACCUCCUAGCACAGUGCCCCCCGACCCCGAGGGUGUGCUCGAUUGGAUGGAUAGAUGGAUGGAUGGAUAACCCCCUCCACCCUCAUCUAUGCUGUGUCCUACCUAAAACAUAUUAAAAUGUUGACAUCUUUGGGUGAC
rnacentral:lncRNA from 1 species